rnacentral:rRNA from 1 species
GACGUAGGGCGCAAGCGUUGUCCGGAUUUAUUGGGCGUAAAGAGCUCGUAGGCGGUGUGUCGCGUCGGCCGUGAAAACCUGCAGCUUAACUGUGGGCUUGCGGUCGAUACGGACAUCACUGGAGUUCGGCAGGGGAGACUGGAAUUCCUGGUGUAGCGGUGAAAUGCGCAGAUAUCAGGAGGAACACCGGUGGCGAAGGCGGGUCUCUGGGCCGAUACUGACGCUGAGGAGCGAAAGCGUGGGGAGCGAACAGG